rnacentral:rRNA from 1 species
CCAUGAAGCCGGAAUUGCUAGUAAUGGCAGGUCAGCAUACUGCCGUGAAUACGUUCCCGGGCCCUUGUACACACCGCCCGUCACACCAUGAGAGUUGGGAAUACCCGAAGCCUGUGAGCUAACGUAAGAGGCAGCAGUCGAAGGUAGAAUCAAUGAUUGGGGUGAAGUCGUAACAAGGUAAC